UACGUAGGGGGCAAGCGUUGUUCGGAAUUACUGGGCGUAAAGGGCGCGUAGGCGGCACGGCAAGUCAGGAGUGAAAGCCCUGGGCUCAACCCGGGAACUGCUUUUGAAACUGCCGAGCUAGAGUGCGGAAGGGGCAACUGGAAUUCCCAGUGUAGCGGUGAAAUGCGUAGAUAUUGGGAAGAACACCUGAGGCGAAGGCGGGUUGCUGGGCCGACACUGACGCUGAGGCGCGAAAGCCAGGGAGCGAACGGGG
rnacentral:rRNA from 1 species